UCCGUUCAUCUACUAACUAAUUGGCUAUCGAAGGAGGGGAGGAGCCUCUUCCGUUCAUCUACUAACUAAUUGGCACCACUCGACCACUUAUCGGUUUCCGGAUCACGCAGGAGAGAGGACAGACUUUUUCCCAAAUGAGAAAAGGCCGUCCAUACGUACAGAGAAGAGUCUGUCCUUCUAGCGGUUGAUACUCAGAGAGAUACUAGUCUCUCUGAGACCAGAGGGACAGGUCAGUAAAACACAGAACAAUAAGGGACGAAAAUAGCUUUGAAUAGCUUUUCCCUGAAUAGGAGAAACUCUGGGGCUCCACGCUCACGUCGCUGACUGUCUGUGUAGGAAAACAAUAUGGCCACCCUGCAGUGAGAAGAGAACACCACUCAGCCUGACAACCAGGCUUCAUUGGGUGAGUCUGGGACUACGUCCUAAAUGGCACCCUAUUCCCUACAUAGUGCCCUACUUUAUACCAGAGCUCUAUGGGCCCUGGCACCCUAUUCUCUAUAUAGUGCACUACUUUAGACCAGAGCCCUAUUCCCUACAUAGUGCACUACUUUAGACCAGAGCCCUAUGGCACCCUAUUCCCUACAUAGUGCACUACUUUAGACCAGAGCCCUAUGGCACCCUAUUCCCUACAUAGUGCACUACUUUAGACCAGAGCCUGUGUAGGGAAUAGGGUGACGUUCACUGUCUGCACUGGAAACUGGUGCAGAGAGGAGAGGAGGAGAGAGAGAAAGGAAGGAAAGGAGGAGAGAGAGAAAGGAAGGAAAGGAGGAGAGAGAGAAAGAAAGGAAAGGAGGAGAGAGAGAGAAAGGAAGGAAAGGAGGAGAGAGAGAAAGGAAGGAGAGGAAAACUGGCAGGCAGACUGGAUGACUCUGGGGAGAAGAGAGGAGGGAGGGAGGGGAGAAGGAGGGAGGGAGAUGGGAGGUAAAGAACAAGGAGGGAGGGAGAUGGGAGGUAAAGAACAAGGAGGGAGGGAGAUGGGAGGUAAAGAGGAAGGGAGUGCGAGAGAAUGCAAAGUGAGGGAGAUGGAUAGAUGUAAAGUGGAAGAGAGGGAGAAGGGAGAGUGAGGGAGAUGUAGGGAGAGAGAGCAGGCAGAGUGAGGGAGAGAGAGAGAGAGAGCAGGCAGAGUGAGGGAGAUGUAGGGAGAGAGAGCAGGCAGAGAGAUGUAGGGAGAGAGAGCAGGCAGAGUGAGGGAGAUGUAGGGAGAGAGAGCAGGCAGAGUGAGGAGAGAGAGAGAGAGCAGGCAGAGUGAGGGAGAUGUAGGGAGAGAGAGCAGGCAGAGUGAGGGAGGGAGAGAGAAGGCAGAGUGAGGGAGAUGUAGGGAGAGAGAGCAGGCAGAGUGAGGGAGGGAGAGAGACCAGGCAGAGUGAGGGAGGGAGAGAGAGCAGGCAGAGUGAGGGAGAUGUAGGGAGAGAGAGCAGGCAGAGAGGGAGAUGUAGGGAGAGAGAGCAGGCAGAGUGAGGGAGAGGGAGAGAGAGCAGGCAGAGUGAGGGAGAUGUAGGGAGAGAGAGCAGGCAGAGUGAGGGAGAUGGAGGGAGAGAGAGCAGGCAGAGUGAGGGAGAUGUAGGGAGAGAGAGCAGGCAGAGUGAGGGAGAUGUAGGGAGAGAGAGCAGGCAGAGUGAGGGAGA
ensembl:lncRNA